GUGGGUUGUGGUGUGGAGGCGGUGUUCACUGGAUCCAGACUGAAGCCUCAGCAGACUCUUAAAGUGUACUUCACCAAAAAUGGCACACGGGUACAUGAGAUUAAGAUGGACUACAUCACUGAUGGCUUGUACCCAUGUGUAGCAUUGCACUUUGAAGAGGACAAAGUCCAGCUCCAUGACUUCUUCCCUGGUUGUCAGAGACUCAUCCAAGAAACCCCUACAAAAACAAAACAUAAGACAGUGGAACAGGACCUGCCAGAAGGAUGUCAGUUUGUGGUUGUUGCUGUGGGUGAUGGGACAACAUCAGACGUUAGAG